rnacentral:rRNA from 1 species
UACGGGGGGAGCAAGCGUUGUUCGGAUUUACUGGGCGUAAAGGGCGCGUAGGCGGUCAGCACAAGUCAGUUGUGAAAUCUCCGGGCUUAACUCGGAAAGGUCAACUGAUACUGUGCGACUAGAGUGCAGAAGGGGCAACUGGAAUUCUCGGUGUAGCGGUGAAAUGCGUAGAUAUCGAGAGGAACACCGAUGGCGAAGGCAAUCCCCUGGGCCUGCACUGACGCUCAUGCACGAAAGCGUGGGGAGCAAACAGG